UUCACUUAUGUUUGGGGUCAUGUUUUGAACAGUAUCAUGCAAGGGCAAACUACCGUCACUAACUAUGGACUAUAUAAGUUUGAAAUUAUUUAAGGAUUAAAAUAAACCAUAGUGUUCCUAUACCUAUCUGUUAACCUUAA